rnacentral:rRNA from 1 species
UACGUAGGGUGCAAGCGUUGUCCGGAAUUAUUGGGCGUAAAGAGCUCGUAGGCGGUCUGUCGCGUCGGAUGUGAAAACCCAGGGCUCAACCCUGGGCCUGCAUUCGAUACGGGCAGACUAGAGUUCGGUAGGGGAGACUGGAAUUCCUGGUGUAGCGGCGAAAUGCGCAGAUAUCAGGAGGAACACCGGUGGCGAAGGCGGGUCUCUGGGCCGAAACUGACGCUGAGGAGCGAAAGCGUGGGGAGCAAACAGG